ACGAAUGCGGAAGAGGAAGAUAGCAUCACAUAAAAUGAAGACGCCGAGAAGAAGUUUAAAACGCCUGGUAGAAGCUCAAAGGAGCGAAAUGCGUAGCGGGCGGUUCUUUAAACUUUUUAGCGAACGGAUUUUAAAACUUCUAAUGAAUUGGAAUAAAUAUUUAUUUAUCUUCUAUUCUCGAGUACGGUCUUUUUCUUCUUGCUUAUUACGGAGGUUUGGGGAUGUGGCAAGCUGUCCUUUGAAACGGAGCCGGAGUUCCUGUACCAUUUGCUGGAGACAAAGCCCCAGGAAAAGACAUUUUGAGGAGCCUAAUUUGAUUAUGAAGCAUAUGUUACAUGAAUCCGUGGGAUGGGACAGAUGUUUCUGGUGAUCAUCUUAAUCAGAAUUGGAUUCCGAGCCUUCCUCGAGUGCUUUCAGUUGUUCUACUAUGGCUCUCUCCUGCUUUUCAUUUUGGUACUUUAAGAUGCUGAAAAAAACAUUAAAUAUUUGUCACAUUUAUUUGUAUUGCAAUUGUUAAUAAAACAUCACAUAAUCUCACUG